UACGUAGGGGGCAAGCGUUGUCCGGAUUUAUUGGGCGUAAAGAGCGUGUAGGCGGUUUGGUAGGUCCGCUGUGAAAACUCGAGGCUCAACCUCGAGACGCCGGUGGAAACCAUCAGACUAGAGUCCGGAAGAGGAGAGUGGAAUUCCUGGUGUAGCGGUGAAAUGCGCAGAUAUCAGGAGGAACACCAAUAGCGAAGGCAGCUCGCUGGGACGGUACUGACGCUAAGGCGCGAAAGCGUGGGGAGCGAACAGG
rnacentral:rRNA from 1 species